rnacentral:rRNA from 1 species
GAUGAACGCUAGCUACAGGCUUAACACAUGCAAGUCGAGGGGCAGCGGGAUUGUAGCAAUACAAUUGCCGGCGACCGGCGCACGGGUGAGUAACACGUAUCCAACCUUCCGGUUACUCGGGGAUAGCCUUUCGAAAGAAAGAUUAAUACCCGAUAGUAUAAAUUUUCCGCAUGGUUUGUUUAUUAAAGAUUCAUCGGUAACCGAUGGGGAUGCGUUCCAUUAGAUAGUAGGCGGGGUAACGGCCCACCUAGUCGACGAUGGAUAGGGGGUUCUGAGAGGAAGGUCCCCCCACAUUGGAACUGAGACACGGUCCAAACUCCUACGGGAGGCAGCAGUGGGGAAUAUUGCACAAUGGGGGAAACCCUGAUGCAGCGACGCCGCGUGAAGGAAGAAGUAUCUCGGGUAUGUAAACUUCUAUCAGCAGGGAA